rnacentral:lncRNA from 1 species
GUGCUACCUUCCAAUCUCCUCCUUGACCUCAUAGAAGGAGUGCAGCUUCCUCCGGUGGCUUUGCUUCUCUGAGUCCGGCUCAUUGUCCCCUAAGGAGUGGGAAGCGGCUGGUAUGGGCAAAGGUGACCACCCUGAUCCCCAUGGAACCCAAUGCUGUGGUGUUGACGGGAGCUGCUCCAUGGACCCAAGACUAUGGAACCACACUCACCCAGGGACAGGGUCCUAUGGACACCAAGUUCACCGCCACUUGCCUCUCCCCAGUGGAGGGUUCUGGCCCCUCUGAGGAGACACGGUGAGUAGAAUGUGGGGGUCCCAGGCUGGGGCAGGGCUGGGACAGGCUGGGAGG